ACUAUGGCCUGGAUUUCCCUUUUGAAACAAAGUUGCUGUUGCAGUCCUUUUGUUUUCAAGAUGGAGUUUCGUCACUCAAGAUGCUGUCUCGGCUGGCCUUAAACUCUUGAUCUUCCUGGGUAAUGAGGAUUACAGAAACACAGCUUCAGAGGUGGCUCGAGACAUUGGCUUUGUCUGUACUGAAGAGACAAUGCUACUUUGGAUGUCAAAGACAAAGCUGGUAUCAUCCCGAGAAGAACUAAAGACAUCAUAUUACAUUGAUAUGCACAUGCCCAUGUUUACAGUAGUACAAUACAUAAUAGCUAAAUCUUGAAAGCAAUCUACGUGUGCAUCAGCAGAUGAAUAAAGAAAAUGUGAUAUUUGUGCACCAUGGAGUAUUACUCAGCCAUAAAGAAGAAUGAACGAGUCAUUUGUAAGAAAAUGCAUGUAUCUUGAAAUGAUAAUAUUAAGUGAAACAAAUCAGACACACAAGCUGAUAUAUCACAGAGUUUCUCUUAUAUGAGAAACCCAAAUAUAAAUGAAGAGCAAAAUAAAAAGAUAGAUAAUAGCAAGCAGGGAGGUAAAUCUUUCUUAAAUGAAAAAGGGAUUUAAAAAUGGGGGGUAAAAAAAACUGAGAUGUAUCAUGUACAUGUUAACAACUCCCCACAGUGAAUGCAAUCUUUAAUGCAAACAUGUACUAAUAAAAAAUAAACACUGAAAAAAGUUAAGAGGUUUGAAAGUGCAAA